AUUGAACGCUGGCGGCAGGCUUAACACAUGCAAGUCGAGCGGAGUGAUGGUGCUUGCACUAUCACUUAGCGGCGGACGGGUGAGUAAUGCUUAGGAAUCUGCCUAUUAGUGGGGGACAACAUCUCGAAAGGGAUGCUAAUACCGCAUACGUCCUACGGGAGAAAGCAGGGGAUCACUUGUGACCUUGCGCUAAUAGAUGAGCCUAAGUCGGAUUAGCUAGGUGGUGGGGUAAAGGCCUAACAAGGCGACGAUCUGUAGCGGGUCUGAGAGGAUGAUCCGCCACACUGGGACUGAGACACGGCCCAGACUCCUACGGGAGGCAGGAGUGGGGAAUAUUGGACAAUGGGGGGAACCCUGAUCCAGCCAUGCCGCGUGUGUGAAGAAGGCCUUAUGGUUGUAAAGCACUUUAAGCGAGGAGGAGGCUCUUUUGGUUAAUACCCAAGAUGAGUGGACGUUACUCGCAGAAUAAGCACCGGCUAACUCUGUGCCAGCAGCCGCAGUAACAC
rnacentral:rRNA from 1 species